ensembl:lincRNA
UUUUGAGAACACAGAUUUUUGUAGCCAAGGCACCCAGUGUAUAGUACUUUGUUAUGGCAGCCCUUUCAUACAAAUACAGGAGGGGCUCAUGAAAAACUGGUGACAAUAAAUUGUUCUUUAUUUUCUGGUGCUCCCUCAAAAGAAAAAUGUGAGCCCUGGCAUGGCUUUCUUGUUUGAACUCUUUCUUCUUCAUGGAACAUACACUUGCCUGGACCGGGCUGUGGGCUGAGCAGUGUUCCCUUUGUGUAAUAACAACUUUGAUACAGUGGAGGGAAAAUUUAAGUGUCCCCUUCUAUGAGGACAUUAUGACCAGAAACUCAGUAACUUUAGGAAAAUUGAAGAUUUGAUUUGCCUGGACUUGGACCACUGGCUGUGCAAUCUCUAUUUUCAGUUUGUCUAAUGGCUAAAGGAGAGAAAGCAGAAUCAGGAGUGGAUAAUACAGCUGGCCUUUCAGAGAAGGAAACACAGAAGAAUCCUCGUGCACCAAUGGAUGAGGCAGACGUUAAAUCCGCAGCACACUCUUCUCAGGGGAGCCUUCCUAAAAAAAUCGGUCCCUGUUCUAUGGACUAUGAUCCCAAUCUCUUAAAAGAAGACGAUGAACUACACUCUCAGGGAGAUAGCCUGAUGGAUCAUUCUGUGAAUGGAAAAUCAACUGUUUGGAGAAUUGGAGAAGCUGAAGAUUAUUCACAGGACAUAUCUUACUUGGAGGAACUGAAGGAACACCGAUUUUCUGUUUGGCUGUCUUCAAGGACAUCCCUAGUCUCGUAUUUGGCAAUCUGCCCUUAUUCUCUGUCUGCUGCUUUCUGAAAAUAAAUGAAAAGACUGUUGUGACACUCUUGAAGGAAAACAAGAGGAUUUUUAUUUUUCACAAGCUUUGCUCAUGACUUCAGGACACUGGAUGAUGAGCUCUUUUUAAAACUAUCUGAUCAAUUGCUAUAUAAAUGGAAAUUAAUUUCUAAAUGUACUCAAAGAUUCUAGAAGAUGAAUUCAGACAUCUCAGCUACUAUUCGUCUAUGUGGCUCUUUACCAUUGGAGAAAGGCGGUGUUGCCUUCUGGCUUCAUAGGACUUGAGUUCAAAUUCUCACUGUGGCUUUUACCCCUGGGGGGAGUUCUAUUUUGAUUUGCUUUACACAGGGGUUAUUGCAGUUUCCCUUCAUUUUGAGAAUCCCCGACAUUCAGGAAUUUUUAAUUUCCUAAUUUAGUAUUAGAUGUUUCCAUUCAGAGCUAAUUUAGAAGGCAUUUAAGUAUUUCAUUCACUUUCUCACAUCAUAUUCUAAUCCUUUUUUUCCAUUUAAUUCAGAGUUCUCCUGAAUAACAUAUUGAGUGUUUUGUUUUGUUUUUACCAAGUAGGACCUAAUAAUUAAUGUUGCGGUUAUGAAGAAUAGUAUGGGAAAUGUAACAUUUCACAUAAAAACAGAUUUUCCCCGUGUUUCUGAAUGUAUUUGUGUGUGCGUUGUCUGUGAUUGCCUCCAGGCAGAUGCAAUCCUAGUGCUGUGAAUUGCUUCUGAACACAUACACACACACACAGUCACACACACUCAUACACACACAGAGCAGUUUUGCUGAGAAAUAUUUUGCUAGCAAAUCUCACAGCUAUCUCUCUAAAUGACACUUGCUGCCCAUAUGUGCAGUGUGCAUUUAAUAAUCAUUCUGUCACCUACGAAAC